GAGUUGUCUGAACCUUCGGGGGACGAUAACGGCGUCGAGCGGCGGACGGGUGAGUAAUGCCUGGGAAAUUGCCCUGAUGUGGGGGAUAACCAUUGGAAACGAUGGCUAAUACCGCAUAAUAGCUUCGGCUCAAAGAGGGGGACCUUCGGGCCUCUCGCGUCAGGAUAUGCCCAGGUGGGAUUAGCUAGUUGGUGAGGUAAGGGCUCACCAAGGCGACGAUCCCUAGCUGGUCUGAGAGGAUGAUCAGCCACACUGGAACUGAGACACGGUCCAGACUCCUACGGGAGGCAGCAGUGGGGAAUAUUGCACAAUGGGCGCAAGCCUGAUGCAGCCAUGCCGCGUGUAUGAAGAAGGCCUUCGGGUUGUAAAGUACUUUCAGCAGUGAGGAAGAUGGUGUACUUAAUACGUGCAUCAUUUGACGUUAGCUGCAGAAGAAGCACCGGCUAACUCCGUGCCAGCAGCCGCGGUAAUACGGAGGGUGCGAGCGUUAAUCGGAAUUACUGGGCGUAAAGCGCAUGCAGGUGGUUUGUUAAGUCAGAUGUGAAAGCCCGGGGCUCAACCUCGGAAUUGCAUUUGAAACUGGCAGACUAGAGUACUGUAGAGGGGGGUAGAAUUUCAGGUGUAGCGGUGAAAUGCGUAGAGAUCUGAAGGAA
rnacentral:rRNA from 1 species